rnacentral:rRNA from 1 species
UACGGAGGGUGCGAGCGUUGUCCGGAAUCACUGGGCGUAAAGGGCGCGUAGGUGGCGCGGAAAGUCAACGGUGAAAGCCUUGGGGCUCAACCCCGAGUCGGCCGUCGAUACUUCUGGGCUUGAGCACUGUAGAGGCAGAUGGAAUUCCGGGUGUAGCGGUGGAAUGCGUAGAGAUCCGGAAGAACACCGGUGGCGAAGGCGGUCUGCUGGGCAGUAGCUGACACUGAUGCGCGACAGCGUGGGGAGCAAACAGG